UACGGAGGGUGCAAGCGUUAAUCGGAAUUACUGGGCGUAAAGCGUGCGCAGGCGGCUUUGCAAGACAGAUGUGAAAUCCCCGGGCUCAACCUGGGAACUGCAUUUGUGACUGCAUGGCUAGAGUACGGUAGAGGGGGAUGGAAUUCCGCGUGUAGCAGUGAAAUGCGUAGAUAUGCGGAGGAACACCGAUGGCGAAGGCAAUCCCCUGGACCUGUACUGACGCUCAUGCACGAAAGCGUGGGGAGCAAACAGG
rnacentral:rRNA from 1 species